rnacentral:rRNA from 1 species
AUACGUAGGUGACAAGCGUUAUCCGGAUUUACUGGGCGUAAAGGGCGUGUAGGCGGUCUUGCAAGUCAGAAGUGAAAUUCCUGAGCUCAACUCGGGCGCUGCUUCUGAAACUGCAGGACUUGAGUGCUGGAGGGGAUAGCGGAAUUCCUAGUGGAGCGGUAAAACGCGCAAAUAUUAGGAAGAACACCGGUGGCGAAGGCGGCUAUCUGGACAGUAACAGGCGCUGGAGCGCGAAAGCGUGGUGAGCAAAUAGGAUUAGAUACCCUGGUAUUCCACGCCGUAAACGAUGAAUACUAGGUGUUGUGUUCCAAUAGGGAUUCGGUGCCGCAGCUAACGCAAUAAGUAUUCCACCUGGGGAGUUCGUUCUCAAGAAUGAAACUCAAAGGAAUUGACGGGG